GUGUUUUCUUGGAUAGUACAUGAACUAAAAUGGAACGUACAGAGACGAAUAGUUUAGUCCCUGCACAAAGGUGACACACAAACUUGUGAAGCAUUCCAUGCUUUU
rnacentral:snRNA from 1 species